UACGAAGGGGGCUAGCGUUGCUCGGAAUCACUGGGCGUAAAGCGCACGUAGGCGGCUUGUUAAGUCAGGGGUGAAAUCCUGGAGCUCAACUCCAGAACUGCCUUUGAUACUGGCGAGCUUGAGUCCGGGAGAGGUGAGUGGAACUGCGAGUGUAGAGGUGAAAUUCGUAGAUAUUCGCAAGAACACCAGUGGCGAAGGCGGCUCACUGGCCCGAUACUGACGCUGAGGCACGAAAGCGUGGGGAGCAAACGGG
rnacentral:rRNA from 1 species